CGGUAUAUAUGAAAUAGUUUGCGUUUGUAUCUUGAUUGAAGUGGACCUGCGCGUGAUUUAAUUAAAAUGAAAGUACAUCUGAUACUGGCUCUUCUGAUUGGGGCCUGUUACGCUCACAAUGGCGUGUGCAACAUGUCAAACGGUUCAAUAGGUAAAUGUGUAAAACCAGGACAAUGUAAGGUACCGGAUCUUGGUAACUUGAAUGUUUACAGGACAAUACAAAUGGAGUGCCCAACGGGAGAAGAAUGCUGUGAUUUUAAAGAUGUAAUCCAAUCUGAUUCACCCAUUACCUUUAAUAAUAAUAUAAUAACAUCAAAUACUAAUAUAAAUAUAAAUGAUAAUCAUUUCAUUUAUAAAAACAAUUUUCAACAAUAUUAUGGACUA